UACAGAGGUCUCAAGCGUUGUUCGGAUUCAUUGGGGCGUAAAAGGGUGCGUAGGCGGCGCGGUUAAGUCGGGGUGUGAAAAUUUCGGAGCUUAACUCCGAAACUGCAUUCGAUACUGCGGUGCUUGAGGACUGGAGGAGGAGACUGGAAUUCAUGGUGUAGCAGUGAAAUGCGUAGAGAUCAUGAGGAAGACCAGUGGCGAAGGCGGGUCUCUGGACAGUUCUGACACUGAGGCACGAAGGCCAGGGGAGCAAACGGG
rnacentral:rRNA from 1 species